rnacentral:rRNA from 1 species
AACGCGAAGAACCUUACCAGGUCUUGACAUCCUCUGACAACCCUAGAGAUAGGGCGUUCCCCUUCGGGGGACAGAGUGACAGGUGGUGCAUGGUUGUCGUCAGCUCGUGUCGUGAGAUGUUGGGUUAAGUCCCGCAACGAGCGCAACCCUUGAUCUUAGUUGCCAGCAUUCAGUUGGGCACUCUAAGGUGACUGCCGGUGACAAACCGGAGGAAGGUGGGGAUGACGUCAAAUCAUCAUGCCCCUUAUGACCUGGGCUACACACGUGCUACAAUGGAUGGUACAAAGAGCUGCGAACCCGCGAGGGUAAGCGAAUCUCAUAAAGCCAUUCUCAGUUCGGAUUGUAGGCUGCAACUCGCCUACAUGAAGCCGGAAUCGCUAGUAAUCGCGGAUCAGCAUGCCGCGGUGAAUACGUUCCCGGGCCUUGUACACACCGUAGUAC